CUUUAUGACUAGCUAACGUUGACUUGAGGCCAACACGGGAUAUUGACAAAGCAUCUCCGAAAAAUUGUUUUGACCGAAGUUUCAGCAAUCGUUAGUGGACAUCAUUAACUGGAAUUCUGACAUCGGUACAUGACGUCAUCUAAAGGAAACAUCAGUGACGUCAUCUAUAUACGUAAUAUGGUGACCGUCGCACGAUGACGUCAUGUGAGAUUGCGUGUAGUGUAGCCAUGCGUGUACUACUCGUGAUGAAAAGACACGAUUUAUACAAAGGUUUUGGAUGUCUAAGUCACAGCCAACAUGUUAUCGGCAGGAGGCAGCAAUCUUUGGAGAUUACUGGUUCAGAUAUUCUUUCUCGUUCUUGUCAUUAACGAUGCCUCAAUCACAAGCUCUUUGCCUAUUCCAAAGAAUGUCGAACAAAACGUCACUAAUAUCACCGAUACAACCGUCGAAUUACAUUCCAAUAGAGCAGACCGUUGUAUACAAUGCAUUCUGCCAUCAGGCGAAGACUUCCAGCAUAACGCAUUUAUCAAGAGGCCACCGGAGACCUACGUAGCGCUGAAAGAAAGCACAGCUGUGUUCGAAUGCAUUCCCAGUUUAUUUAACAUCUCAAGUGAUGAUGUCACUGUCACGUGGACAAUUCCAUUUUCAGUCCCGGUGACGUCGUAUGAUAAACUACAUUCCGAGGAUGCAACGGGAGCCUUCAUAACUCCAAACAGCUCAAUUUUGAUUAUGAAAAAUGUGCAACCAGAGUUCUCCGGAAUUUAUCAGUGUGUGGUGGAAACUUCCUCUAGCACUAUAAUAGCUGAAAUGAACUUGGUCGUUCGAAUGUAUGUAGUCGACAUAUAUAACUGGCUUAUCGCUGGAAUUCCUGGGUUUUUACUGAUAUCCAUGUGUGUCGUCAUAACUUUCUUUUAUUGUAGAAUAGAAAAAAAUCGCAGGGAAUUCUACCGAGCACGCCGGCUUCUCAAGGAACAACAGGUUUUAUAUAAAUAUUGAUACCGAAAUAUUUCAACAAUUUCUGAAAACAAAUCUUAGAUGUAGGAAAACGUUCCCUAUUUACUUGGAUUGAAAUUUCGUCUUCUUUUGAAAAAGUACACAGAGAGCCCUUGUCUGUAAGAGGAUUGUGAGGAGACACAAUGAAACAUAUUUCUAAAUACUUCAGAUGAAUAACUUAAAAUAUGGCACUUUGUGUGCAAAAGAAUGUAUCUAUAAAGAAUAUGUGUAUCUAUUAAUAAGAUCAUAUCGUACAAUUUGUGUAAUUAGGUCCUAUUUUACAAUUUUUAAAAUUAGGUCCUUUCUUACAAUUUUUGUAAUUAGGUCCUA